AGAAACCGUUAGAAUCCAUCUCUUCACCCAUACUGAAGCCUGAGCUGCCCCACCCAGCCCCUAUCCACUAUCAAGGACACUUGUCUGCUAUCAGAAACCCUGGGGACACUAUUCCCUGCUUUAUCAAGGACCUGAGGAAACAUUUCUCCAACUGAAGAUAAGCCCCACCCCCCCAAACCACCACCCACGCAAACAUACUCUUUUUCUUUUCUCCCGGCUAGUGAAAUUGAGUUUCUUUCUGUCUUUUUCUGGAAAGAAGGCAUUUUCUACCUGGAUCUGCAGUGACUUGCGGAGAGGCAGAAAACUGAUGUAACUAACUGGCCCUGAAAUGUCCUAAAUGAGUCUGCAAAUGCUCACCUUAGCUCUGCUCACAGUACCCAAGGAUGUCUUGAUUGGCUGGAAGUCAGAUGCCUGUGGCAACUAAAUGUUUUAAGAAUUUUGCAUGUGAGCCAAAAUCAUAUCAAAAGAGAGCUUUAUUUUUGUGACUUUCACAACUAACAAGAUGUAUGUUGCAACUCAGCAUCUAAUGGUUGAAAGAAAAAAAAGGUAAAUUGUCAUGGCUGGCAUUAGCAGAAGUCCAUUUUAGCAAAGAAAUGUAGUCAUGGGCAUUUGAGACUCUUCUUCCCUGGAAAAUAAUUGUAAAUGUACUAAGAAGGAAAAAAAGGAAAUUCCCAGUGAGAAAAAAAAAUAAUCCAACUGGGGUCACGUUUAUCAUCCAGACUGAUUCAGACUUCUGAUAUUCUUAUUUCAGAAGGAAAAUUUGGACAAUGUCAAAACUUGAGGAUAUUUAAUAUUUUUGAGGGUGGAGGAGAAAUUACAGUUUAGCCUUGCUGGGUAGGGAUCAAGAGAGAACGUCUUUAGCUCUCAAAAACUGUUUUACACAUUCAAACAGCCUCAGAAUGGCUGAAUCGCUCCUGAACAUGGCAGUUACUGGUUGCUAUGGGAAGAUAUGAUAGGGCCAUGAUUACUUUAAAAAAUCAGUCAUAAUAAAAACACAUUUGAGACUCGAUUCUAAAUGCUAUACUUAAAUUUGGGCGACUUAAUUGCCCAUAGAAUAGAAAUGAAGUCCCACCAGUAGGCAGUAACUUCUUACAGCCACUGUGUGUGAAAUUGAAAUCUUAAGAUAUCAUAUCAAAUAUGCACCUUCUCGAAGAAAGCUCUCCCCAAAGAGUUGUGACAGAUAAGAAAUUGACCCAAAGUUGCAUGCAUGCCUCUCUUUUUUUCCCUUUAACACACUCAGGUCAAAGCAAAG
rnacentral:lncRNA from 1 species